GAUCCUACGGGGGGCAGCAGUGGGGAAUAUUGGGCAAUGGGCGCAAGCCUGACCCAGCAACGCCGCGUGAAGGAAGAAGGCUUUCGGGUUGUAAACUUCUUUUCUCAGGGACGAAGCAAGUGACGGUACCUGAGGAAUAAGCCACGGCUAACUACGUGCCAGCAGCCGCGGUAAUACGUAGGUGGCAAGCGUUAUCCGGAUUUAUUGGGUUUAAAGGGUGCGUAGGCGGGACGGUAAGUCAGCGGUAAAAAUGCGGAGCUCAACUCCGUCGAGCCGUUGAAACUGCCGUUCUUGAGUGAGCGAGA
rnacentral:rRNA from 1 species